rnacentral:rRNA from 1 species
AUGGCGGUUAAUGACGUGAGAAAGAAAAAGGUGCCACAGAGAAAGCAAAGGACGAUGAAGCGGCACACUACAUUUUCCUACGAGGACUUGCUGGACGAGAUAGUGUGGGAGAUCUUAAUCAGGCUUCCCGUGGAAUCACUGGUGAGGUUCAAGUUGGUCAGCAAGGCUUGGCGCAGCAUCAUCUCGGAUCCUGUUUUUGUUCGUGCGCACCUCCGUUACUCCAAACAGAAACAUCACAACCCAUUAUCCUUCCUUAUCAUCCCCGAGAUUUAUCUGGAACCGGAUCCUUCCAACAUUAUCUCCACCAACAUCCGCCUCUACCACUGCUUUUUACAACAACAAUAA